UACGUAGGGCGCAAGCGUUGUCCGGAAUUAUUGGGCGUAAAGAGCUCGUAGGCGGUUUGUCGCGUCUGCUGUGAAAUCCCCAGGCUCAACUUGGGGCGUGCAGUGGGUACGGGCAGACUAGAGUGCGGUAGGGGAGACUGGAAUUCCUGGGUGUAGCGGUGGAAUGCGCAGAUAUCAGGAGGAACACCGAUGGCGAAGGCAGGUCUCUGGGCCGUUACUGACGCU
rnacentral:rRNA from 1 species